GGGCUACUGUAGAAACAUGGCGGUGCAACAUGGUGAUCUCUGCAGACAAAGACCUGCUUCCUACAGUAUGUAAAUCUUUCACGCUAGACCUUUAAAACCAUCUGAGAAGUUUGGAGGAGGAACGUCUCUUUGGUGGAGCUGCUAACAGCUAACAGACAUCUGAAAUACAGCAAGGAGUCAGAGGAUGAGCGGCCACAAGACAAAUAGGUUUAAUCUUUAACACUGGGUUCUGUCCUACAUCAUGUCAGCUGUGGUGAAUUUACCGGGGCGCGCGGUGCUGUGCUGGGACAGCUGCUCUGCCGCUUCGCCCAUCGUCCAUUUUAGAUGACAUCACCUGAGUGGACACAGCUGGAGAGGCUGUCAUCAUGCAUCACAGAGAGGGCGGAGCAAAAACCUCAUCAUCUGUUUUCUAUAUAUAACCCUGACCUACACCCUCCUCCUCCUCAUCAUGGAGCCGCCGUGUUCCCUCACUGCAGCCUGAGCGUCAGAGGCAGCAGCAUCCAUCACGGGCUGGAGAGGAGCUUCCUGUCGGACUCAUCC